CACGUAGGGGGCGAGCGUUGUCCGGAUUCAUUGGGCGUAAAGAGCUCGUAGGCGGCUCAGUAAGUCGGGUGUGAAACCCUCAGGCUCAACCUGGGGACGCCACUCGAUACUGCUGUGGCUAGAGUCCAGUAGAGGAGUGUGGAAUUCCCGGUGUAGCGGUGAAAUGCGCAGAUAUCAGGAAGAACACCCGUGGCGAAGGCGGUUCUCUGGAACGCAACUGACGCUGAGACGCGAAAGCGUGGGGAGCAAACAGG
rnacentral:rRNA from 1 species